AGGGUUUGAUCCUGGCUCAGAACGAACGCUGGCGGCAGGCUUAACACAUGCAAGUCGAACGCGUGUAGCAAUACACGAGUGGCGCACGGGUGAGUAACGCGUGGAUAUCUGCCUUUUGGUUCGGAAUAACCCCGGGAAACUGGGGCUAAUACCGGAUGGUUCCUUCGGGAUAAAGAUUUAUCGCCAAAAGAUGAGUCCGCGUCCGAUUAGCUAGUUGGUGAGGUAAUGGCUCACCAAGGCGACGAUCGGUAGCUGGUCUGAGAGGACGAUCAGCCACACUGGGACUGAGACACGGCCCAGACUCCUACGGGAGGCAGCAGUGGGGAAUAUUGGACAAUGGGGGCAACCCUGAUCCAGCCAUGCCGCGUGAGUGAUGAAGGCCUUCGGGUUGUAAAGCUCUUUUGGCGGGGACGAUGAUGACGGUACCCGCAGAAUAAGCCCCGGCUAACUUCGUGCCAGCAGCCGCGGUAAGACGAAGGGGGCUAGCGUUGUUCGGAAUUACUGGGCGUAAAGCGCGUGUAGGCGGUUAUCCAAGUUGGGUGUGAAAGCCUUGAGCUCAACUCAAGAAAUGCACUCAGUACUGGGUGACUAGAGGACCGGAGAGGAUAGUGGAAUUCCCAGUGUAGUGGUGAAAUAC
rnacentral:rRNA from 1 species